UACGUAGGGCGCAAGCGUUAUCCGGAAUUAUUGGGCGUAAAGAGCUCGUAGGCGGUUUGUCGCGUCUGCCGUGAAAGUCCGGGGCUCAACUCCGGAUCUGCGGUGGGUACGGGCAGACUAGAGUGAUGUAGGGGAGACUGGAAUUCCUGGUGUAGCGGUGAAAUGCGCAGAUAUCAGGAGGAACACCGAUGGCGAAGGCAGGUUGCUGGGCAUUAACUGACGCUGAGGAGCGAAAGCAUGGGGAGCGAACAGG
rnacentral:rRNA from 1 species